GCUGUAUGAGGCUGUGUUGUGCAGGGAGAUGAGGCCUGAUUGUUGUCAUCAGCCCUGUGCUUUAGGAGGGCAGCAUCUCCUUCCAGCAGGACCUGGCUGCCCGUGUCCAAAGACAAGCUAUCAUCAUAGUUCUUCUUGGUGGGGAUACACAGAGAUAGAAGAUGUAUGUAAAGCAUUUUACGUAAAAAGUUACCGUUACACAUAUUGCACGGUACUGACUAGAAGAAGAAAAAAAAGAAGCAACCUAGUUGCCUUCAGUCAAUCAAACAAUAAUCUUUCUAGGGCUAAUAUGAAAGGCACAGGAAGGAAGACUAACCUUGAGCAUCAGCAGAUCUUUUGGCUAUUUGCCCUUGGCUGCAGCCUCAAAGAGAGGGUUGAAAUUCCACAGGUCAGCUAUGUUGACCAAUGCCCCGUUUCUCACCAGCAGCUCAGUGACCUCAUUGUGACAGUAGGAGCAGACACACAGGGACACUACAACACGGAACAUUUAAUUCCCCCCAGAAAUCUCCGGGAACUUGCAGGUACCUUGGUGGAAGUGCGGGGUAACAUCUCACAGCAAGAACUUGCAAAUCCGAUGCAGUCCAUGAGGAGGAGAUGCACUGCAAUACUUAAUGCAGCUGGUGGCCACACCAGAUACUGACUGUUACUUUUGAUUUUGACCCCCCCCUUUGUUCAGGGACACAUUAUUCCAUUUCUGUUAGCCAGAUGUCUGUGGGACUUGUUCAGUUUGUCUCAGUUGUUGAAUCUUAUGUUCAUACAAAUAUUUACACAUGUGAAGUAAGCUGAAAAUAAACGCAGUUGACAGUGGGAGGACGUUUCUUUUUUUGCUGAGUUUAGCUCCCCGACAGUGCAGUAAUAUCUAACAGCUUCACAACAUAUACCCCAAAAUACACAAAUCUAAGUAAUGUAUGGAUUAAGAAUAUAUAUAUAUACACAUGUCAGAGCGGCAUUGGACUAAGAUAGUGGCAUAGUAUAGAGUACAGUAUAUACAUAUGGGAUGGGUGAUGCAAUAUUUACACAAUUAAAGUGACUAAGAUACCGUAGAAUAGUAUAGAGUACAGUUUAUAUAUAUGUGAGAUGAGUAAUGCAAGAUACGUCGACAUUAUUAAUGUGGCUAGCGUUUCAUGUCCUUAAAGUGGCCAGUGAUUCCUAAUCUGUCAAUAGGUCUGUUUUGCAUGUUAUUUAGGCAUUAAUACGUGUCACAUAUCAAUUUGCACUUGGUACCUUGGGUCGAGGCCGGGUUGGCGUGAUUCACUCACGAAACCCCCGUUUCUCGACCGUGCAAAUCGGGGCCAUGUCUUUCCAGAUAAGGAGCGGGCACUCCGCACCACGCGCCUCAGGACAAGACAUGUGACUUGCUUUGCUCUCCGGAGCAGAGCGCCAUUGAAAGGAUUGAUAACUGGAGUGGCGUUAAGUGUUGAGGAGGACAAACUGAAAUGGAAGAUUCCUGGUGUCUGUGACGGCCGCCGUUUGCUGCGACUCAGACCCAGUGGAGAGCGUGGUGAAACACAGAAGAUACUGUCUGCUAAGUUUUGAUGCAAAGUCUUUACCUGACAACGUCAAGUUAGGAUUUGUCAGUUAUCCCGUGAGACUUUUUGUCCCGAAUCAAUUACAGUGUUUUCAUUUCAAGUUGUAUUAGUUGUAUGCAGGGGAUACACAGCAGGUCCGUUCUCGACCAUGCAACAUCUAUUGGUAGAUGGGUAUGAAUUUAAAAAAAACACAUUGAAUAUCCCUUUGAGCAUGGUGAAGUUA
rnacentral:lncRNA from 1 species